rnacentral:rRNA from 1 species
AACGAACGCUGGCGGCAGGCCUAACACAUGCAAGUCGAGCGAGGGCUUCGGUCCUAGCGGCGGACGGGUGAGUAACGCGUGGGAACGUGCCCCUUGGUACGGAAUAGCCCCGGGAAACUGGGAGUAAUACCGUAUGAGCUCUACGGAGGAAAGAUUUAUCGCCAAGGGAUCGGCCCGCGUUGGAUUAGGUAGUUGGUGGGGUAAUGGCCUACCAAGCCGACGACCCAUAGCUGGUAUGAGAGGAUGAUCAGCCACACUGGGACUGAGACACGGCCCAGACUCCUACGGGAGGCAGCAGUGGGGAAUCUUGGACAAUGGGCGCAAGCCUGAUCUAGCCAUGCCGCGUGAGCGAUGAAGGCCUUAGGGUUGUAAAGCUCUUUCAGCUGGGAAGAUAAUGACUGUACCAGCAGAAGAAGCCCCGGCUAACUCCGUGCCAGCCGCCGCCGUAA